rnacentral:lncRNA from 1 species
UGCCAAGGCUGAGCUGACAAUCUGUUUGAAAAUCUUUUUCCAGGUAUACAAGAUCAGUGAGCCUGUUCAAUGUAUACUGUGAUUAGAAUUUUUCUUCAGAUAUUUAUAUCAACAUUUCAGGUUUCGGGAGAAAUGUUUUCUGAGCCUACCUGUCAAAGAGAAACUUAUAAAAGAGUCUUCGAUCAAGAAAAACUAGUUCAUAAACCACCUGAUCCUGCCGCUGAAAUGUAUGAAUACAAGAUGCUUUUCAACUAAAUAACACUGAGGAUUGGUAAAUCUUUCUGACUGUUUUCAAGUGCUAACCUAUGAUGGCGGUAUGCAUUAACCCAAGUUUCUAACUCCAACAGAGGAGGGUGAGGGGACAGAGGCCAGGAGUGUUACCGAGCAGUUCACACUUCGCUGGGGUCCAAGCACCAGAGCCUCACUUUGAUGCCCCUCCCAGAAGCACUGGCUCUAUGUGCUGCUGUAAUACAAACACUUAAAAGACGAUGACCGAGAAAAGAUCUGCUCAUUGUUACAUGGCUCAUUUUCACACUAGUGAUGAACGCUAUCCCAAAUGGAUGGCUGUCCUCAUAUUCCCCUAUAGCCACUCAGGAGUCAUAGCAGUAAAGGGGGUGUUUUCUUUGUGACACUUCGUGGUAGUCUGGCUAACUUGGUGCAGCCGUUUCAGAGUCUUUCACAGAAAAGAAAGCUAUACCCAUGCCAGAUACCUGGAGUGUUGCUUUUAAAAAAUGUUGUAAGAUCUCUGUGAUGCAGCCCGAGAAAGUGUCAGAAUCUGUACUAGUGAAGUGACACAGAAAAAAAAAAAAAAAUGUCACUUGAAGAUGGAGGAGUACAUAUACAACCUAUCUGUUUCAUUUUGCGUUUCCAGAGCUUUAACUGGACACAUUAUGCAGAAUCUCUUAUUUUCCUGCAGAAAUUCCAGAGUUGGCCAUGAAUCCCCAAGAUGAGAAUACCUAAUACACUUUGGUAGGUGUUACUAUGCUCACAAAUUCAAAUGAUAAAAACAAAUAGGGCUUUGCAAAACAUGUAUAAAACCAACAUACAUGUUAAUGCCCAUGGUCUACCAGCUUAAGAUAGAGGACCCCAGAGAGAAACACUUCAGAAUUCCAUAACUACACCUACUUCAGGGCUCGUUUCAGGAAUGAAGAGUAGAUAAUCAUUUGUUUCGGAUGCACGGGAGGUGAGCAGGGAAUUUGAAAGGUGAGGGAAGGAAUAUUCUUAUUGGGGAUAAAAUGGAAAUUAUUUACUCUGG